UACGAAGGGUGCAAGCGUUACUCGGAAUUACUGGGCGUAAAGCGUGCGUAGGCGGUUUGUUAAGUCCGAUGUGAAAGCCCUGGGCUCAACCUGGGAAUUGCAGUGGAUACUGGCGAGCUAGAGUGCGGUAGAGGAUGGUGGAAUUCCCGGUGUAGCGGUGAAAUGCGUAGAGAUCGGGAGGAACACCCGUGGCGAAGGCGGCCAUCUGGACCAGCACUGACGCUGAGGCACGAAAGCGUGGGGAGCAAACAGG
rnacentral:rRNA from 1 species